AGGUCAAGUGAAGAAGGGCGCACGGUGAAUGCCUUGGCACUGGAAGCCGAUGAAGGACGCGACUAACCGCGAAAGUCUUCGGGGAGCCGUAAGUAGGCUUUGAUCCGGAGGUCUCCGAAUGGGGGAACCCAGCAUGUGCAGACAUGCUAUCCUUAAGUGAAUACAUAGCUUAAGGAGGGAACACGCAGUGAACUGAAACAUCUAAGUAGCUGCAGGAAGAGAAAGAAAUAUCGAUUUCCCAAGUAGCGGCGAGCGAACAGGAAAGAGCCCAAACCGGCAGAUUUAUCUGCCGGGGUUGUAGGACUGAGACAUGGCACUUCAGAGGAUAGCAGAAGCGUUUGGGAAAGCGCGCCAGAGAGGGUGAGAGCCCCGUAAGCGAAAUCCAAAGAAGGCCUAUCAGUAUCCUGAGUAGGGCGGGACACGUGAAAUCCCGUUUGAAUCCGCGAGGACCAUCUCGCAAGGCUAAAUACUAACCAGUGACCGAUAGUGAACCAGUACCGUGAGGGAAAGGUGAAAAGAACCCCGGGAGGGGAGUGAAAGAGAACCUGAAACCGUGUGCCUACAAGUAGUCAGAGCCCGUUAACGGGUAAUGGCGUGCCUUUUGUAGAAUGAACCGGCGAGUUGCGUUAGUCAGCAAGGUUAAGUCAGAAAAGACGGAGCCGUAGCGAAAGCGAGUCUGAAGAGGGCGAGCAGUUGGCUGACGCAGACCCGAAACCAAGUGACCUACCCAUGACCAGGUUGAAGGCGCGGUAAAACGCGCUGGAGGACCGAACCCACGUAAGUUGAAAAUUGCGGGGAUGAGUUGUGGGUAGCGGUGAAAUUCCAAACGAACUUGGAGAUAGCUGGUUCUCUCCGAAAUAGCUUUAGGGCUAGCCUCGCAAAGAGGAUGCUGGAGGUAGAGCUCUGUUUGGACUAGGGGCCCGUCAAGGGUUACUGAAUUCAGAUAAACUGCGAAUUCCAGACAUUUAUGUGCGGGAGUCAGACUGCGAGUGAUAAGAUCCGUAGUCGAAAGGGAAACAGCCCAGAUCACCAGUUAAGGUCCCAAAAUUCAUGCUAAGUGGAAAAGGAUGUGGAGUUGCGCAGACAACUAGGACGUUGGCUCAGAAGCAGCCAUCAUUCAAAGAGUGCGUAAUAGCUCACUAGUCGAGUGACGCCGCGCCGAAAAUUUACCGGGGCUAAGCAUGAUACCGAAACUGUGGAUGUGCGUUUAUGCACGUGGUAGGAGAGCGUUCUAGCGGCGGUGAAGCAUGACCGAGAGGACAUGUGGAGCUUCUAGAAGUGAGAAUGCCGGUAUGAGUAACGAAAGACAGGUGAGAAUCCUGUCCGCCGCAAGACUAAGGUUUCCUGGGGCAGGCUCGUCCGCCCAGGGUAAGUCGGGACCUAAGGCGAGGCCGAGAGGCGUAGUCGAUGGACAACAGGUUGAAAUUCCUGUACUGCACCGAAUCGUUAUGAGCGAUGGAGGGACGCAGGAGGCUAGCAGCGCGUGGUGCUGGAUACCACGUUCAAGCG
rnacentral:rRNA from 1 species